rnacentral:rRNA from 1 species
UCGAGAAUCUUUCGCAAUGGGGGAAACCCUGACGAAGCGACGCCGCGUGGAGGAUGAAGGUCUUCGGAUUGUAAACUCCUGUCGGCUGGGAAAAAAUACUUACUGAUAACAUCAGUAAGUUUUGAUGGUACCAGCAAAGGAAGCCACGGCUAACUCUGUGCCAGCAGCCGCGGUAAUACAGAGGUGGCAAGCGUUGUUCGGAUUUAUUGGGCGUAAAGGGUUCGUAGGCGGACCGGAAAGUCAGAUGUGAAAUCCCACAGCUCAACUGUGGAACUGCAUUUGAAACUUCCGGACUAGAGUGUGAGAGGGGUAAAGGGAAUUCCCGGUGUAAGGGUGAAAUCUGCAGAGAUCGGGAGGAACACCAGUCGCGAAGGCGCUUUACUGGCUCACUACUGACGCUCAGGAACGAAAGCUAGGGUAGCAAACGGGAUUAGAUACCCCGGUAGUCC